AACUCUAGAGCAUCAGCCUAUUAUAGUUUUGAUUGAUACUAGUAGCACUAACAAUUUUAUGGACAGUGAGACUAUUGACCGAUUGGCCCACCACAUUGAAGACUAUGAAGAUUCGAAGUAAAGAUCGUUGAUAGAUGGAUUUUCACUUGUGAUAGCAAAGGUUCAAAGAUAAAAUUGAUUAUACAGGGCCAGAAGUUUCAUGCAACGAU
rnacentral:lncRNA from 1 species